CAUUUUAGCGACCACUGCGUUCCCUGCCAUCUAGCGGCGGGAAUAUCGACAGGGAGGAGAAACGUAUUGCGGAAAUUACAGCGCCACGCGUUUGCUGUAUGUGAGCACGUGUUUCUUUGUGUUGUUGCGUCGGAAAGUUCAUCCUAAAAGCGUUUUUAUUGACUUUAUUGAUUAUAUUGUGAAGCAGGCUCUGGUCAGAAUAUCGUAUGCAUUCGGCAUCCAUGCUGUGGUUAUAAUUAUGCCGAAGGCACGGAAUAGCAGCAAGUGGUGUGGAGCCAUCAACUGCAAGACGUCGAAGGCAACUCACCCUCAUCUCAGUUUUCAUGGAUUUCCUUCUGAUGCCAAACAGUCCAAGAGGUGGGUGCAGCUGUGCAUAAGGAAAGACUUAGAAGACAAGUCUGCAGAGUAUCUGGCUGAGAAUGUCAGACUAUGCACGAAACAUUUUGAGCCCAAUCAGUAUCAUCCAGGCAGCAGGCGCCUCAAGCGUGAUGCUGUACCAACUGUGUUUGACAUUCCGAAUCCACCACCAAGAGUCACUGUAACAAGACCUCUGUCUGUACGACAACCGCCAGAGGAGAAGAAGUUCAAGAAAGGCAAUCCAGUGGAACCAGCCAUGGAUUGGGGUGGUCUUUCGACCGUCAUGGAGGACUGGUGCGAGAGUGGAGACGCAACCAACCAAGCCAGUGCGGAUGGACAGCAGUCUUCUCCACCUGACAGUGAGUCCUGUUCAAAGGAAAAUGUUGAUGUCGAAGCAUUGAACAGGAAGUUAAAAGCACAAGGGGCAGCUAUCAACAAGCUGCGCUGCAAGACCCAACCGGCAAAUAACG